rnacentral:rRNA from 1 species
GACGAACGCUGGCGGCAGGCUUAACACAUGCAAGUCGAACGCCCCGCAAGGGGAGUGGCAGACGGGUGAGUAACGCGUGGGAAUCUACCCAGAACUUCGGAACAACUGAGGGAAACUUCAGCUAAUACCGGAUACGCCCUACGGGGGAAAGGAUUUAUCGGUUCUGGAUGAGCCCGCGUUGGAUUAGCUAGUUGGUGGGGUAAUGGCCUACCAAGGCGACGAUCCAUAGCUGGUCUGAGAGGANGAUCAGCCACACUGGGACUGAGACACGGCCCAGACUCCUACGGGAGGCAGCAGUGGGGAAUAUUGGACAAUGGGCGAAAGCCUGAUCCAGCCAUGCCGCGUGAGUGAUGAAGGCCUUAAGGGUUGUAAAGCUCUUUCAGUAGGGAAGAUAAUGACGGUACCUACAGAAGAAGCCCCGGC